UCCAGUCGACCAUCCCUCCUGAGCAGAGAGCAGACCUCCCCGUCCCUCCCAGCCCUGCGUCUGGUGUGUUUUCUCAACGCCUCAGUGGAACAAGAAAGGACUGAGCCUGCCAGAACCAAGAAAAGUGUAUCUGAGAUGGAUAAUUUCAAAGGCCCCUAUGCUCAGCACUCUGCUCAUUAUUCUAUGGCAAAAAUCCAAACAACCAUAGACACACCUCAUAGACAUGUGAUACCUGGAUCCCGUGAUGUCCACUGACAACGGUCGCAACAUGGCAAAUUGACAAUGCUGUGCUGUAGCAUCAACGAGAUGUUAAAGAAAGGAAACCAACUUUCUCUAAGGCUUUGGUUACUCCAGGAACCAAAGGGAGGCCUGAAUAGUGCUGUCGUCUUGUGGGCAAUUUCAGUAACUACUAUUUUAUCUCCGGAGUUCACUGGCACCUCAGUUCACAAGGACUCCUGCUGCUAAGUCACUUCAGUCGUGUCUGACUCUGUGUGACCCCUGGACAGCAGCCCACCAGGCUCUGCCGUCCCUGGGAUUCUCCAGGCAAGAACACUGGAGUGGGUUGCCAUUUCCUUCUGCAGUGCAUGAAAGUGAAAAGUGAAAGUGAAGUCGCUCAGUCAUGUCCGACUCUUUGCAACCCCGUGGACUGCAGCCUACCAGGCUCCUCCAUCCAUGGGAUUUUCCAGGCAAGAGUACUGGAAUGGGGUGCCAUUGCCUUCUCCGUCACAAGGACUAGGGUUAUGUUAAUGACAGAUGCCCUGAGAAAAUGUCCUGGGGCAGUACUGGAAACAUAAUUUCCAAACACACCCAACUUUCAGGAACCCAAUUGUCAGAGGCAAGUUGUCCUGACACCCAUUAAGGAAAAAAAAAAAAAUCAAACCUCCACAGCGGGACAAGGUGCUAAGGAUCCCUAAUUGCUGAAGGAAUGUCAGUCAAAACACAAUGGUAAAUCAAAUGUCACAAUCAUGAUCACCACAAAUCUACAAGCAAUAGAUUCGGGAGAGAGCCUGGAGGAAAAGGAAUGCCGCUAAGGUCUCUGUGGAUAAAUACGAUGGCAACAGCCUGGAAAAUGGACUCUCCAAAGAGGUUAAGUAUAGGAUCUGACAUUCCCACACCUGGGCCUAGAUCCUGAGAGAACCACUGGUCAAAAGGCACCCCAAGGAACACUGCAGUGCUACUUCCGGUAACCAAGACACACAACCAUCAAACUCUCCAGUGAGAGGUUAAAACUUAAACAUGAUGUGGUACGUAUAUCUUGUAGACUAUUUCUCAUUGAAAUUAGGGAAUUAGGACAUUGGGAGCCACAGGGAUGGACCUUGAAGGAUUCUACACAAAGGAAAUCAGUCAGGCAGAGGAAAACUAUGGUAUAUGAGGUAUGUUCCAGGAAAAACAAAUAUAAACAUACGAGGCAACAUAUUUACAAUUCAAAAAGAGACUCAGAAUCCAAAGUCAAACACAGUGUUCAAGAAAAAAAAAGACAAUCAAUGAAGGGCCUUGAAUGAAUUAGAAGUUCCGUACCUACACAGACAAGAAAUGCGUGUCUGUAACAGAUAAUCCAUGAGGAUUAUCCUCGUCCUUCCUUUAUUCUACAUGUUCACAGGAAUCUGUAUUUCCAACCUAUACACAGAAAUCUCUAAGAGACACACCUCAAAAAUUAAGUGUCUUCCUUCUUUGUAUACACAAAAAGGUGUAUCUGGGAUACAUAAUCCGCAAGGACCUGAUGCUCAGCACUCUGCUUGACAUUCCAUGGCAAAAAUCAAAAAAGAAUAGAGAUACCGCAUGAUGAUUAAAUACCUAAUCGGGAGCUGUAUACUGACAAAAAUCACAACACUUUAAAUUGACUAUACUGCAAGGUAGCAUCUGGAAAAUGUUAAAGAAAAAGAAAGAAUAGCAGUUCCUACUGUAUGACCACCCCCCCACCCAACCUCCCUGACUUGGGAUGCUGAGCAGGCUUGGGUCCCACUGCUGAAUCAGGGUGGGGUCGAUACAGCCUGGCAGGGAACCCUUCACUGAACCCUUUUGAAAGGGCUACAGGGUGCUCUGUUUGGCUAGGACAAGAGUCCACGUGGCAUUUAAGCCCCGAGGAAUUUCAAGGCAAAAUUCAGCUAGCCUCAACCUCCCCUGGUGCUGGGGAACCCAGUCCAAGCCUCCUUCCUGAGUGCAGCCUCCUAGUACCUAAGCACCCUCAGUAGUGUACUGUGGACCCUGAAGGGAUUAGUCUGGACACAGUGUUUGUGUGAGGCUUUAGGGAGAAAAAGUAGUGAGACUCAAGCCCUUUCCUAUUUGCUCAGGCACAUUCCACUCCUUCUCACAGCCCAGGAAGCCAACUUGCCCUAAGGCUCUGGUUGCCCCCAGGAACCAAGGUGGGUCUGAAUAAGUGCUGCCAUUUUGUGAACAUUUCCUGGAACUACAACUUGAUCAGUCUUGCUCACAGGCAUCUCAGUUCCCAAGGCCUGGGGUUCUGUGAAUGACAGCCACCCUCAGGAAAUGUCCUGUGGCCGGUACCAGAGAAAUAAAUUCCAAACACAGCCGACUUUCAGGAAGCUGAACCAAAGCUAAAUUGUCCUCAUACCCUUUAAGGAAAAAAAAAGGGACAAUUCAAACCCAAACCUCCCCCACCAUACAAGAUGCUCAACAUUCCUAAUUGCUGCAGAAAUGCCGGUCAAAAAGACGAUGGGAAAUUAAAUCCUACCACUCCCAAUGGCCAACAAUUAAUAUGGGAUGGAGUCUGGGGGACAAAGAAUUGCCCUAAGCUCUCAGUGGGAAUAUACAUCAGCAGCAGCCAGUAUCAUGGCCAGUCUCCAAA
ensembl:lncRNA